ACAGGGAUUGCCCUAGUAACGGCGAGUGAAGCGGCAACAGCUCAAAUUUGAAAUCUGGCUCUUUUAGAGUCCGAGUUGUAAUUUGCAGAGGGCGCUUUGGCUUUGGCAGCGGUCCAAGUUCCUUGGAACAGGACGUCACAGAGGGUGAGAAUCCCGUACGUGGUCGCUGGCUAUUGCCGUGUAAAGCCCCUUCGACGAGUCGAGUUGUUUGGGAAUGCAGCUCUAAAUGGGAGGUACAUUUCUUCUAAAGCUAAAUAUUGGCCAGAGACCGAUAGCGCACAAGUAGAGUGAUCGAAAGAUGAAAAGCACUUUGGAAAGAGAGUCAAACAGCACGUGAAAUUGUUGAAAGGGAAGCGCUUGCAGCCAGACUUGCUUGCAGUUGCUCAUCCGGGCUUUUGCCCGGUGCACUCUUCUGUAGGCAGGCCAGCAUCAGUUUGGGCGGUAGGAUAAAGGUCUCUGUCACGUACCUCCUUUCGGGGAGGCCUUAUAGGGGAGACGACAUACUACCAGCCUGGACUGAGGUCCGCGCAUCUGCUAGGAUGCUGGCGUAAUGGCUGUAAGCGGCCCGUCUUGAAACACGGACCAAGGAGUCUAACAUCUAUGCGAGUGUUUGGGUGUCAAGCCCGAGCGCGUAAUGAAAGUGAACGGAGGUGGGAACCCGCAAGGGUGCACCAUCGACCGAUCCUGAUGUCUUCGGAAGGAUUUGAGUAAGAGCAUGGCUGUUGGGACCCGAAAGAUGGUGAACUAUGCUUGAAUAGGGUGAAGCCAGAGGAAACUCUGGUGGAGGCUCGCAGCGGUUCUGACGUGCAAAUCGAUCGUCAAAUUUGGGCAUAGGGGCGAAAGACUAAU
rnacentral:rRNA from 5 species